UUCUACAGUCCUGGGGCGAUAAAUCCUCUGUUGUGAAACGCACAAAGAGGACACAUGUGAUGCUCAAUCUUCUACGAUUUUGAGGCUCUGAAAAGAAGUUUGUAAGGAAAUGAAGUAGCUGCAUCUCCCAGUGAAUGGACGAGAGAGCUCCAAAUGCACAAGCCUCACAUUCACACUAACACUUGGAGGAGGAUGCUACAAAGCUGUGCACGGCUUCUGAUGCCCAACAAAAGUUCGAUGAAAUGAUCGAAAGUCAAUGAGGGGAGUGGAGUACUUGAGCAGGAUGGAGAGGCAGUUAGGUUGUGUGCCACAUGAAGCUGAGUUGACAGCCAUGGUGAGAAAUCUGGACCUCACUCGCUUCUCAAGUUUGUUCUGUCGAUGACACAGUGGAAACUUCGACCUUGCAUGGCCAUAAGUGACCUCUGCACUGAUCUGAAGAAGAAAAGCAUGGUUGAAUGCCGAUAUUGUUGAUCGGCCAUGGGCCAACAUCACUGAGGUGGAUAUAGGGUUUUAGAGACCUUGCAACUCGACCAGAGUUAUCCACUUCCUCAAAUGUUUAAAUUAAAGCUAUGAAGUAUAAUGGUGUUGCGAGAUACUUAAUGGAUGAAUGGAUCAUGUUGGCCCA